rnacentral:rRNA from 1 species
GUGGGGAAUAUUGGACAAUGGGCUAAAGCCUGAUCCAGCCAUGCCGCGUGUGUGAAGAAGGUCUUCGGAUUGUAAAGCACUUUAAGUUGGGAGGAAGGGCAGUAAGUUAAUACCUUGCUGUUUUGACGUUACCGACAGAAUAAGCACCGGCUAACUUCGUGCCAGCAGCCGCGGUAAUACGAAGGGUGCAAGCGUUAAUCGGAAUUACUGGGCGUAAAGCGCGCGUAGGUGGUUUUGUAAGUUGGAGGUGAAAUCCCCGGGCUCAACCUGGGAACUGCCUCCAAAACUGCAUGACUAGAGUACGGUAGAGGGUAGUGGAAUUUCCUGUGUAGCGGUGAAAUGCGUAGGUAUAGGAAGGAACACCAGUGGCGAAGGCGACUACCUGGACUGAUACUGACACUGAGGUGCGAAAGCGUGGGGAGCAAACAGGAUUAGAAACCCUGGUAGUCC